ACAACUGAUGAACCUGAAUCUUCAAAAGCUUCAAGAUUAAUAAUCAAUUCGAAAGAUUAUAAGAUUGAACUGUUGCAAAACCGCAAAAUGAACAAAUUCAUCAUCUGCUUCUGUUUUGUACUUUUCGUUGUUUCGAGCGCUAGUGCUCGGCAGCUUGGAAGAAAUGCACUCAAAGGUAAUCUUCAAGAUGUGUGCUUCCAAUUUGGGGGAAUAUGUGUCCCAAACGCAUAUGAAUGCUACGAAUUAGAACCACCACGACAAUCCUGUGGGCACCCAUGUCCUGGGGGACAGCAUUGUUGUUGCAGGUGGUGAAGUCACGGAUACGCAGGCAAAGAGAUUAGUUAGUCAACAGGGCUUGGAUAAAAUUAUGUGGAAUAAUGUUAGUAUUGCAAUAAAAUCCGUGGAAUAAAAUGUCUCUAUCUUU